AUUGAACGCUGGCGGCAGGCCUAACACAUGCAAGUCGAACGCGUGGCGGACGGGUGAGUAAUGUCUGGGAAACUGCCUGCUGGUGGGGGAUAACUACUGGAAACGGUAGCUAAUACCGCAUACCAUCAGAUGUUCCCAGAUGGGUUUCGCUUGUUUGUGGGGUAACGGCUCACAAAGGCGACGAUCCCUAGCUGGUCUGUGAGGAUGACCAGCAACACGGGAACUGAGAGACGGUCCAGACUCCUACGGUAGGCAGCAGUGGGGAAUAGUGCACAAUGGGCGCAAGCCUGAUGCAGCCAUGCCGCGUGGAUGAAGAAGGCCUUCGGGUUGUAAAGUACUUUCAGCGGGGAGGCGUUACCCGCAGAAGAAGCACCGGCUAACUCCGUGCCAGCAGCCGCGGUAAUUC
rnacentral:rRNA from 1 species